GGCACUAUGGCUUAGCUGGCUAAAGCGCCUGCCUUGUAAGCAGGAGAUCCUGGUUUCAAAUCCCAGUGGUGCCU
rfam:Pelodiscus sinensis unplaced genomic scaffold scaffold839, whole genome shotgun sequence.